GCCCCUAUAGUUCAGCCCGGAUAGAAUAAUUCCUUGCGGAGGAAUCGACCGCGGUUCAAAUCCGCGUGGGGGCG
rnacentral:tRNA from 1 species